rnacentral:lncRNA from 1 species
CUAAAAUAAGAAAAAUAGUCCUUUGUUAGAAAAAUUCAAUCCGAAAAACAAGGAUAAUCAGAUAAAUUCAAUUUCAAUAAAUCCAAAAAUAAAUAUUUACCAAAUUUUAACCUAUAAAUGGUUCCCUAAAUCCAAUAAUCAUCCUCAGGCCUUGCUCAGCAAAAAAGAAAUAAAAAUAAUAAAGCAGGUCUCCAAUCCGUAAUCCGGGCGGCAAAGGGAUUUCUUCUUCUUCCUUUUCCUCUCCGAUCAACCAAUUUCACGUCACCCACCACCAUGGACAUGAAGAAGAUCUCUUACGCCGUAGUCAUCGCCGCAGCCUCCGUCUCUGCCGUCAUGGCUG